UCAGCGGUGACGAUGAUGACGGUAGCCACAGAAGAAGCCCCGGCUAACUCCGUGCCAGCAGCCGCGGUAAUACGGAGGGGGCAAGCGUUGUUCGGAAUUACUGGGCGUAAAGGGCGCGUAGGCGGCCUGUGCAAGUUAGAGGUGAAAGCCCCGGGCUCAACCUGGGAAUUGCCUUUAAAACUGCUGGGCUUGAGUCCGGAAGAGGAUGGCGGAAUUCCCAGUGUAGAGGUGAAAUUCGUAGAUAUUGGGAAGAACACCAGUGGCGAAGGCGGCCAUCUGGUCCGGAACUGACGCUGAGGCGCGAAAGCGUGGGGAGCAAACAGGAUUAGAUACCCUGGUAGUCCACGCCGUAAACGAUGUGCGCUAGCCGUCGGGGCACUUAGUGUUUCGGUGGCGCAGCUAACGCGUU
rnacentral:rRNA from 1 species